rnacentral:rRNA from 1 species
AAUAGAUACCCUGGUAGUCCACGCCCUAAACGAUGUCAACUAGCUGUUGGGGCCUUCGGGCCUUGGUAGCGCAGCUAACGCGUGAAGUUGACCGCCUGGGGAGUACGGUCGCAAGAUUAAAACUCAAAGGAAUUGACGGGGACCCGCACAAGCGGUGGAUGAUGUGGAUUAAUUCGAUGCAACGCGAAAAACCUUACCUACCCUUGACAUGUCUGGAAUGCCCGAAGAGAUUUGGUAGUGCUCGCAAGAGAACCGGAACACAGGUGCUGCAUGGCUGUCGUCAGCUCGUGUCGUGAGAUGUUGGGUUAAGUCCCGCAACGAGCGCAACCCUUGUCAUUAGUUGCUACGAAAGGGCACUCUAAUGAGACUGCCGGUGACAAACCGGAGGAAGGUGGGGAUGACGUCAAGUCCUCAUGGCCCUUAUGGGUAGGGCUUCACACGUCAUACAAUGGUCGGGACAGAGGGUCGCCAACCCGCGAGGGGAGCCAAUCCCAGAAACCCGAUCGUAGUCCGGAUCGCAGUCUGCAA